GGCGCGGUGGCCGAGCAGUUAGGUAGCGGUCUGCAAAACCGUGUACACCGGUGCGAAUCCGGUCCGCGCCU
rnacentral:tRNA from 1 species